rnacentral:rRNA from 1 species
UGCGCAGGCGGAAUGAUAAGUCAGUGGUGAAAGCCUACAGCUUAACUGUAGAAAUGCCAUUGAUACUGUCGUUCUUGAGUACAGUUGAAGUGGGCGGAAUGUGUCAUGUAGCGGUGAAAUGCAUAGAUAUGACACAGAACACCGAUAGCGAAGGCAGCUCACUAAGCUGAAACUGACGCUCAUGCACGAAAGCGUGGGGAGCAAACAGGAUUAGAUACCCUGGUAGUCC